GUCAUUGCUGGCGUAGGCAUAUUUCACAAUGGCAUUUGUUGUCACAUAAAUUACUCGAUAAUCAAAAAAUCCACAAACAAAUAAUGGGGAAAUUCUAAUAAUAAUAGAACCGUGCGCGCAAAUGUGGCAUGCAACAGCAGGUUGCAACGUGGCGUGCCACCACGAGUAGUUGUGCAUUUUGAUCGCAGUUCGCUUUCUUGUCUUCGAUAUUACAGAGGAGAGCAGACUCCCACGUUAACCUCGAGCAAUCAGAUACCGAUAACUUUCCGGAACGACCAGUUUGGAUUUCUGUUCUAUUAAUUAUGUUGCUAUUGUUGUUAUAGUGGAUUUAAAGGCUGUCAUCAGACAGUUACUUCAGUGAAGAGACUGUAACGAAAAGGUCGGGUAAUAGAGAAAUGUUCCAACAACGUUUGAAGAAAGCUGGUUUAAUAACAGUUUUUCGCAUAUAGAAGACACAGAAGACUGCAUAUAAGUUCGGCCUCAGUAAUAGUGAAUGUAAGUAUCCUCUUAGCUUAAGGAUUAAAGGAAGAAUCUACAUCGUCUCUGCGAUGACAUAUACAUCUGUAAUUAUUCCUUCAUAUGGGCCUGUGAUUUGCUGUUUAUUCUUCAAAAGCAGCAAGCAAGCGAUUAAAAAUGCCUUGAGUGCUUUUAUAAGAGAGCUGUGGUAUUUAGUUUGGCCCAAAACUACGUUUAAAGAUUUAAACUCGGUAUCAGAAAAUGUUUGCUUUUUUGGGAAGGUACACUUCGCUGGAUACGCCGAAGGUGUGUCUACCGAGAUACUUUAUUUUCAGUCUGGAAAAAGUCAGCCUCGCAUUCCUCAAUACAGCUUUGGCAAAGACGUCCGACAAAAUAUUUAGCCGCACCGCAUGUGGAGUAUUGUACAGUGUUCAGCCAGAAUAUCUGCAAUUGUGGCAAGAUUGACUUUACUAAGAGCAAGUAGUUCAGAGAGACUCAAAUAACAUAUGAAUGUGUAGUUAAAAAGUAGUGACCUUAUGUAAUACUAAAAAUUUUACUAAGCACGUAAAUAUUGGAGAAAUAUUAGAAAUAAGCACAAAUGUAUACUUUGCUUUCUCUUUAAACUACGACGCCCACAGGUAGGCAGCGAAAAUAAGCACUCAACUGUUUGAAUAAAGCAAAGUGUGUAAGCUAUCAAAGCUUCUUUUUGUCUUUCAAACAAGUUUUUUUUUGCACGAACUAAAUCAGAUGAAACACAAUAAAAUAACAAAAAACUUACCCUUUUUCAUGCAGUGGGAAACACUUAAGUGCCCAUCUACAGCACUUCCUUUAACCUCAAGCGGGGAAGUCGUUUAUCAUUUGCGGCUCAUAACGUCGCAAAACAUUUUCAAUAUUCUACAAAAAAAGAAGCUAUUUUAAAACAUGAGAAAACAGUAUAUGAAUAUGGAAUAUUUGCACAACAAAUACAGUUAUAUGUAGUUAUGACAGUGUCUGAGGAGAGGAAAGAGAACGCCUCAAAGUUUUUCUUGGCGAAGUCUCGCAUUGGCGGCAGCGUAAAUCCUUUUCCGCAUGAAUUAUGAUGUGAAAACUCAAAGCU